UCCACCUUUGAAUUGUCUCACGCCAUACAGGGUCUAGCGCACGUCAGACUGCGUGCAUGAGUGCGUGCGCGUGCGUGAAGUGCGUGCGCGUGCGUGCAAGCUUGCCUGCGAGCUUGAGUGCGUGCCUGUGUGGUUUUCUGCGCCUGCAAGGUUUUCUGCGAGGGUCUGUGGAUACUACUAACCUGAGAAAGGUUAAAGUCUCCAACCUACUGCUGAAUCCUCGGGGAGAUUCCUGUGCCACCCAUUGUACCGCCUCCUGAGAGAACUGGUUGUGGAGUCUUGUCCAGAGUGUAUGAGAAGGAAGAGAGGCACCAGGCAUUAGGGUGAGGAUGCUCUCAACCUUCCCGGGCUCUGUUCUCCAAAGGGUCCUGGCCCCUUGAUGGGGUGAACACCACAGUAAACCAGCAAGGCCAUGAUUCUACAAAUUUCAGUUAAUGAAUGAAUGUACGAUAUAGUGGAAUAUUAUUCAGCAUUGGAAAUGGAAGGUAAUUCUGACUUAAUUUGUUUCAUGGUUAAAUGCUGAUGACAUGCUAUAUGAAAUAAAUAAGAAACCAGGUGGUAAGUGCUAUGAAA